rnacentral:tRNA from 1 species
GACCGCGUAGCUCAGUUGGCAAAACAUUGGACUAGUAUUCCAAAGGUUGUAGGUUCGAUUCCCACCGUGGCG